CUUGCGGCCAUAUCACAUUGAAACACCGGUUCUCGUACGAUUACUGCAGUUAAGCCACAUCAAACCUGAUCAGUAUUUAGAUGAGUGACCGCUUGAGAAUACCAGGUGCUGUAAG